rnacentral:rRNA from 1 species
AACGAACGCUGGCGGCAGGCCUAACACAUGCAAGUCGAACGCGCGUAGCAAUACGCGAGUGGCGCACGGGUGAGUAACACGUGGGAAUCAACCCAGAGGUUCGGAAUAACCGCGGGAAGCUGCGGCUAAUACCGGAUAUCCCCUACGGGGGAAGGAUUUAUCGCCUUUGGACGAGCCCGCGUCCGAUUAGCUAGUUGGUGAGGUAAUGGCUCACCAAGGCUACGAUCGGUAGCUGGUCUGAGAGGACGACCAGCCACACUGGAACUGAGACACGGUCCAGACUCCUACGGGAGGCAGCAGUGGGGAAUAUUGGGCAAUGGAGGCAACUCUGACCCAGCCAUGCCGCGUGGGUGACGAAGGUCUUCGGAUUGUAAAGCCCUUUCGGCGGGGACGAUGAUGACGGUACCCGCAGAAGAAGCCCCGGCUAACUUCGUGCCCAGCAGCCGCGGUAAUACGAAGGGGGCUAGCGUUGUUCGGAAUUACUGGGCGUAAAGGGCGUGUAGGCGGCCCGUUAAGUCAGGU